rnacentral:rRNA from 1 species
UACAGAGGGGGCAAGCGUUGUUCGGAAUUACUGGGCGUAAAGGGCGCGUAGGCGGCCCUCUAAGUCAGACGUGAAAUCCCUCGGCUCAACCGGGGAACUGCGUCUGAGACUGGAAGGCUUGAAUCCGGGAGAGGGAUGCGGAAUUCCAGGUGUAGCGGUGAAAUGCGUAGAUAUCUGGAGGAACGCCCGCGGCGAAAGCGAGGCCCUGGAUCCUUUCUGACGCUGAGACGCGAAAGCCAGGGGAGCGAACGGG